rnacentral:ncRNA from 1 species
ACUAUCUGAUCGGGAGAACCGGUAAGCCCGGUGCCGAAGGAGCAACCGCCCCGGAAACUCUCAGGCGACAAGGACCGAUCGGAUUUG